GACGAACGCUGGCGGCGUGCUUAACACAUGCAAGUCGAACGAAGAGCGAUGGAAGCUUGCUUCUAUCAAUCUUAGUGGCGAACGGGUGAGUAACGCGUAAUCAACCUGCCCUUCAGAGGGGGACAACAGUUGGAAACGACUGCUAAUACCGCAUACGAUCUAAUCUCGGCAUCGAGGAUAGAUGAAAGGUGGCCUCUACAUGUAAGCUAUCACUGAAGGAGGGGAUUGCGUCUGAUUAGCUAGUUGGAGGGGUAACGGCCCACCAAGGCGAUGAUCAGUAGCCGGUCUGAGAGGAUGAACGGCCACAUUGGGACUGUGACACGGCCCAGACUCCUACGGGAGGCAGCAGUGGGGAAUCUUCCGCAAGAGACGAAAGUCUGACGGAGCAACGCCGCGUGAGUGAUGACGGCCUUCGGGUUGUAAAGCUCUGUUAAUCGGGACGAAAGGCCUUCUUGCGAAUAGUGAGAAGGAUUGACGGUACCGGAAUAGAAAGCCACGGCUAACUACGUG
rnacentral:rRNA from 1 species